GGAAUUUCAAGUCCUCUGCUAUAGAAAUAAGAUGGUUGUCUGGUAUAUAGCCCGAUUUAUCAGGUUUACCUCACUAAUGGUCACUCUUGAGAGUCGUAAGGUUAAGAAAUUCUUAAAAAGCCUCCGUUUUGAUAUUUACGACUGGGUCCCGAUGCUACGAUCCAGUUAUUAUGUCGAGGUGCUGGAACAUAUCCAAUUAGCUGAAGAUCUUAUCUCGGCCCGACACCAACGCAUUGUCUAAGUUUGUACCCAUCAAUAAUAACACAAACCUCAACAACUAAGAAGAAGACUACCUGACCCAGUUAGUAGUCAUCCUGAUAAACAACCCUGAGUUACUUCUCCUCCUGCUUUGCCUCUACUUACUAGACACCCUGCCCGACCUAUUCAACCAUAUUAGCAUUGUGGACGCUUGCAUGGUGACCAAUUUUUUUGGCAUUUGAACAACGCCUGCUAUAAGUGCGGAAACACUCAAUACUUCGUGAAAAAUUAUCCCCAAUGGCUGAAGGACAUGGUCAGACCUGUAGCCCAAGGUUGUGUGUACCACCUUGAUUAGCUCGGUGCCCUCGCCAAUCUUGUUGUUAUUCAGGGAAUGCUUUCUACCAAUGACAGUACUGCUCGAGCUCUGAUUGAUACAUGUGCUUGCCACUCCUUU
rnacentral:lncRNA from 1 species